rnacentral:rRNA from 1 species
GAUGAACGCUGGCGGCGUGCCUAAUACAUGCAAGUCGAGCGAACAGAUAAGGAGCUUGCUCCUUUGACGUUAGCGGCGGACGGGUGAGUAACACGUGGGUAACCUACCUAUAAGACUGGAAUAACUCCGGGAAACCGGGGCUAAUGCCGGAUAACAUUUAGAACCGCAUGGUUCUAAAGUGAAAGAUGGUUUUGCUAUCACUUAUAGAUGGACCCGCGCCGUAUUAGCUAGUUGGUAAGGUAACGGCUUACCAAGGCAACGAUACGUAGCCGACCUGAGAGGGUGAUCGGCCACACUGGAACUGAGACACGGUCCAGACUCCUACGGGAGGCAGCAGUAGGGAAUCUUCCGCAAUGGGCGAAAGCCUGACGGAGCAACGCCGCGUGAGUGAUGAAGGUCUUCAGAUCGUAAAACUCUGUUAUUAGGGAAGAACAAAUGUGUAAGUAACUGUGCACGUCUUGACGGUACCUAAUCAGAAAGCCACGGCUAACUACGUG